rnacentral:rRNA from 1 species
GAUCAUGGCUCAGGACGAACGCUGGCGGCGUGCUUAACACAUGCAAGUCGAACGAGAGGACAAGGGAAGCUUGCUUCUUUUGGAAUCGAGUGGCAAGCGGGUGAGUAACACGUAAACAACCUGCCUUCAGGAUGGGGACAACAGACGGAAACGACUGCUAAUACCGAAUACGCUUGGGAGACCGCAUGAUCUACCAAGGAAAGGGUGGCCUCUACCUGUAAGCUAUCGCCUGAAGAGGGGUUUGCG